UACAAAGUUCACAGAAAGUUCCGCAAAGGUUAUUUCCUCAAUUUACAUAAGGUAGAUACAAUGAAAAGAAAUCUUUAACAAUGUCACAAACAGGGUCAUUUAUCUUAUUACAAUUCUCGUGUAAGGUUCACCAGGUUCUCAGGGUCAUGAUAACUUUUCUAAGAAGCUUUACAAUGUUGUUGUGUUCAUAUUAGGGUACAGGUUGUCUUCUAAUCCAUUGUACACUUCACAAUGGCAACCUUUAGGAUUAGUCAUAAACUUAGAACACAAUACAUUGCCAGGGGCAACAUCCAAACAUAUCUUUGACUAAUUUCCAAGGAACUUUCCAAGCAGUAUAUCUAGUACUAGUAAGAUGACUUACAGAAUAAUAUUUCUGAUUAUAAAUGAACCCAAUACAAGGUGAUUGAAAACCCCCUUUCAAUUUCCUCUGGCAAAGUCCCCUCAUCCCAUAAUUAGUAUAAGGACCCCAAUCACUCCACAUGCACAUCCUAUCAUUAGGAUCUAGUAAAUAUUUUACAUAUGUCUCCAGUUUCCAGGCUUCCCCAUAGGUGAAAAGGAGAAUAGAGAGUAAAAGCAAAACUAGCAGCAGGCGGUUUGGCGACGGGUCACUGCCUUGCAGUGAUUCCCGAGAGAGGACCUUUGUCCUCAUGGCAGCGCAGAAUGAGACUUCAUUCGGCUGAUCGAGAGAGGACCA